rnacentral:lncRNA from 1 species
UCUUUUUCUCUGGCGCUGCUGUUGUUCGCCGACCGGCUGCCGCCUCGCCCCUUCACUUCCCUCACCCUCGCCUUUGCUCUCUGCUCUCUCAUUCUCUCUCUCGUUGCGCGCGUACACACACACGCCCAACAGCGCCGCCCAACACAAAACCUCUCCCUUCUCUUUUCUUCUCCGGCGAGGUGGUCAACGUUAACAGAAGAGGUGGAUCUCCGCCGUCAGAUCGCUCAGAUCCAGGGAACCAAUGGCUAUUGUGCCGAAUUUGGCCUCGAUCUAGAGGACGGACUUGGAGUAGAGGAGGUGAAAGGCGGCAAAGGGGUGCCAGCCGCCGACUCAGAUGACGGCAUCCUCGCGCUGGGUCCGAUGAGGCGACGGUUGCCCGCCGAUUCUGAGAGAAGAGCGAAAUAGUGUAGUGGUGGGCAGAUUUCUCUUCGAUUUUGUUUUGGGGAUUUUGGUGGUGAGGAUUAGGGCCUUUUUCUUUGAAGAUAUCAAAUGAGGAUAGGAGAUUUCUCAGAUGGAGGUUGCUCAGAUUGGGGGUGAAUUUGUUUUUUGUUGGAUCGAGAGAGAGAGAGACACAGAUUGAGAUGGAAGAAGAAGUUAGAUUGAGGAU